AAAAUCCGUUGACUUUGAAAAUCGUGAGG
rnacentral:tRNA from 2 species